rnacentral:lncRNA from 1 species
AUAAAAUUCAAAUUCUAAUGAAAUCUGGGCCUCUAGUCUCGACUUUUUCAUGUUGUAACUCAUUCAUGUUGAAUGGUGUCACUAAGUAUGAACACACACGAGAUAGCAGAAUUGGUAGUUUUGAUCUUCAGUGAACAUUUCACUGUUCGAGUUGGAACUCACAUGAGUAAACUUUAUGAGAUUCUUUAUGAAUGUAAAAAUGGUGGAUUAGUGGAUUGUACUUCAUGCAAUUUGUGCCUUAGAAGAUUCCGAGAGAUGUCCGAGAAGACAGUGAGUCAUUCAAUCAAGAAUAGAUGCUUUUGAUCUUCACGAGAAUCACUUUUGUCAGUGUAUUAGUAUAAUAAAGCAUAUAAACAUAUAUUGUAUAUGAAUAUUUAAAACGAUAAAAAUUAUAUAUUUGAUUUACUUUUUUCCAUUUGGUGACCAAUUUUUUUUUUUGC